rnacentral:rRNA from 1 species
GACGAACGCUGGCGGCGUGCUUAACACAUGCAAGUCGAACGGGAAGUCGUAAACGGUGGCCUCGGUGGGAGAUUACUAAUGAGAGUGGCGAACGGGUGAUUAACGCGUGAGCAACCUGCCUAUGACAGGGGGAUAGCCUCGUGAAACCGGGAUUAAUACCGCAUAAAAUCGUAGAAACACAUGUUUCAACGGUCAAAGGCUUAUCGGUCAUAGAGGGGCUCGCGUCUGAUUAGCUAGAUGGAGAGAUAACAGACCACCAAGGCGACGAUCAGUAGCCGGUCUGAGAGGAUGAGCCGCCACACUGGCGCUGAGACACAGUCGAAACUCCUACGGGAGGCAGCAGUGGGGAAUAGUGCACAAUGGCGUAAAUCCUGAUGCAGCGACGCCGCGUGAACGAAGAAGGUAUUCGUAUCGUAAAGUUCUGUCCUAUGGGAAGAUAAUGACAGUACCAUAGAAGAAAGCUCCGGCUAACUACGUG